rnacentral:sRNA from 1 species
GAGCGACAGAUCUAUGCUUUUGAGGGAAGCUACCUGGAAGACACUCAGAUGUAUGGCAAUAUUAUUCGUGGCUGGGAUCGGUAUCUGACCAACCAAAAAAACUCCAAUAGCAAAAAUGAUCGAAGGAACCGGAAGUUUAAGGAAGCUGAGCGGCUCUUCAGUAAAUCCUCAGUUACUUCAGCAGCUGCAGUAAGUGCAUUGGCAGGAGUUCAGGACCAGCUCAUUGAAAAGAGGGAGCCAGGAAGUGGGACGGAAAGUGACACUUCUCCAGACUUCCACAAUCAGGAAAAUGAGCCCAGCCAGGAGGACCCUGAGGAUCUGGAUGGAUCUGUGCAGGGAGUGAAACCUCAGAAAGCUGCUUCCUCUACUUCCUCAGGGAGUCACCACAGCAGCCAUAAAAAGCGAAAGAAUAAAAACCGGCACAGGUCAGUGGCGGGGAUCCCACCCCCCGCAGCUCCCAUGACCAUUGCUGUGAAGGGAAUUGCGUAGAAUAAAAACUCUUUAGGAUUGCUGCAGACUCUUUCUGUUGCUGAUGGCAAGAAAGUCCUUAGGUCCAAGUGGACGGGCUAAUUUGCUCAAAGGGAGGAAUUGGUGGGCAUUAGAGUAACCCUCAAGGAAGACUCCAGGACAUUCUUCUCACUGUUUCUAGUGUAGAAUAGUUUUAUUCCAUAAAAACCUUGUUUCAUAUGGUGAAUAUGGAAUACUUUCAGAAGAGGAAAAGGAGAAAUAGAAAUGGAAUCUGUGUAAUAGUAUUUGAAAAAUGCCACUAGUACUUAUUGGGAAGCUGUAAAGUGGGAUAAAGUCUUCUGCUGGUA